rnacentral:rRNA from 1 species
GUCGACGGAACCCUUCGGGGGGAAGUCGACGGAAUGAGCGGCGGACGGGUGAGUAACACGUAAAGAACCUGCCCUCAGGUCUGGGAUAACCACGAGAAAUCGGGGCUAAUACCGGAUGGGUCAUCGGACCGCAUGGUCCGAGGAUGAAAGGCGCUCCGGCGUCGCCUGGGGAUGGCUUUGCGGUGCAUUAGCUAGUUGGUGGGGUAAUGGCCCACCAAGGCGACGAUGCAUAGCCGACCUGAGAGGGUGAUCGGCCACACUGGGACUGAGACACGGCCCAGACUCCUACGGGAGGCAGCAGUAGGGAAUCUUCCACAAUGGACGAAAGUCUGAUGGAGCAACGCCGCGUGAACGAU